rnacentral:rRNA from 1 species
UUGAUCCUGGCUCAGGACGAACGCUGGCGGCGUGCCUAAUACAUGCAAGUAGAACGCUGAAGAGAGGAGCUUGCUCUUCUUGGAUGAGUUGCGAACGGGUGAGUAACGCGUAGGUAACCUGCCUUGUAGCGGGGGAUAACUAUUGGAAACGAUAGCUAAUACCGCAUAACAAUGGAUGACACAUGUCAUUUAUUUGAAAGGGGCAAUUGCUCCACUACAAGAUGGACCUGCGUUGUAUUAGCUAGUAGGUGAGGUAACGGCUCACCUAGGCGACGAUACAUAGCCGACCUGAGAGGGUGAUCGGCCACACUGGGACUGAGACACGGCCCAGACUCCUACGGGAGGCAGCAGUAGGGAAUCUUCGGCAAUGGGGGCAACCCUGACCGAGCAACGCCGCGUGAGUGAAGAAGGUUUUCGGAUCGUAAAGCUCUGUUGUAAGUCAAGAACGAGUGUGAGAGUGGAAAGUUCACACUGUGACGGUAGCUUACCAGAAAGGGACGGCUAACUACGUGCCAGCAGCCGCGGUAAUACGUAGGUCCCGAGCGUUGUCCGGAUUUAUUGGGCGUAAAGCGAGCGCAGGCGGUUUGAUAAGUCUGAAGUUAAAGGCUGUGGCUCAACCAUAGUUCGCUUUGGAAACUGUCAAACUUGAGUGCAGAAGGGGAGAGUGGAAUUCCAUGUGUAGCGGUGAAAUGCGUAGAUAUAUGGAGGAACACCGGUGGCGAAAGCGGCUCUCUGGUCUGUAACUGACGCUGAGGCUCGAAAGCGUGGGGAGCGAACAGGAUUAGAUACCCUGGUAGUCCACGCCGUAAACGAUGAGUGCUAGGUGUUGGAUCCUUUCCGGGAUUCAGUGCCGCAGCUAACGCAUUAAGCACUCCGCCUGGGGAGUACGACCGCAAGGUUGAAACUCAAAGGAAUUGACGGGGGCCCGCACAAGCGGUGGAGCAUGUGGUUUAAUUCGAAGCAACGCGAAGAGCCUUACCAGGUCUUGACAUCCCGAUGCUAUUUCUAGAGAUAGAAAGUUACUUCGAUACAUCGGUGACAGGUGGUGCAUGGUUGUCGUCAGCUCGUGUCGUGAGAUGUUGGGUUAAGUCCCGCAACGAGCGCAACCCCUAUUGUUAGUUGCCAUCAUUCAGUUGGGCACUCUAGCGAGACUGCCGGUAAUAAACCGGAGGAAGGUGGGGAUGACGUCAAAUCAUCAUGCCCCUUAUGACCUGGGCUACACACGUGCUACAAUGGUUGGUACAACGAGUUGCGAGUCGGUGACGGCAAGCUAAUCUCUUAAAGCCAAUCUCAGUUCGGAUUGUAGGCUGCAACUCGCCUACAUGAAGUCGGAAUCGCUAGUAAUCGCGGAUCAGCACGCCGCGGUGAAUACGUUCCCG